rnacentral:rRNA from 1 species
UACAGAGGGUGCGAGCGUUGUCCGGAAUCACUGGGCGUAAAGGGCGCGUAGGUGGCGCGACAAGUCAGUGGUGAAAGCUCGACGCUCAACGUCGAGUCGGCCACUGAUACUGUUGGGCUUGAGCACUGUAGAGGCUAAUGGAAUUCCGGGUGUAGCGGUGGAAUGCGUAGAGAUCCGGAAGAACACCGGUGGCGAAGGCGGCUCACUGGCCCGAUACUGACGCUGAGGCACGAAAGCGUGGGGAGCAAACAGG